GUGAGUCUGAGGGGACAGGAAGCUGUUUUAUCUGAAAGUCUGACUUCACCAUUUCAGAAAAGAAACCAUCCUGAGCAAGUCCAGAAAGACGGCAGGAGGAAGAUCCAACACCGUCUCCAUGACAACCAGGCCUCACAAUGGAUCCAAACGAUGACGAACAGACGAAGAACAGGACGGUUCUGAAGAAGAAAACGGAGCCCUUCAUCUCCUCACAUGAUUGACAGAUCUCUGCCUCUUCAGAGCGACCGUGUCUUCCGCCGCUCCAAGGUCCGCUCAGGUUCUGCUCAGGUGAGCCUUCACUCCUCCCAGAACCAGGACCAUAAGAAGAAACCGGGUCUGGACCAAUGGGUGCACAGAAGUCUUCUGCUCAUCAGUCACCAUUCCAGGUCUUUAAGCAUAAAUUCCCAGCAGAAACAUGAAUCAACGCUUUGAAGACGACGUCAUGAUCAUCCAUUUCUGAUGCAGACCCACGUCAAAGAGGUUUCUCUAUAUGUGGGGAAGAACCGGUGGGUUCUGGCCGCAGUCCGGGUUUGGAUCUCCACAGUGAGUCAGCAGAACCUCUCUGGAUGUUUCCUCAGGAGGGGACGGACGCUCCUGCUGCUUUAUGGCAUCCUAGACUCUGACCUAAAGGCCACGUUCUUCACCAGUGACUCACAGAGAGGGUCAGCCGUCAGCGGUUGGUCUUUGCAAGCAAACACGCACAUGCAGGCACGUGCACAUGCACGUGCACACGCACACAUGCAGCCAAGUUGGCAGGAUUUCAGAGAUCUCUUGUUCUUUGGUAACACUUACAGUCAACCUAUCAGCCGUUCAACUCAGGAAACAACUUUCAGCUUCAAGCAUUUGUGUCAAAAAGCCCAACAGAACCACAGGCUCCGCCCACAUAACCUUCUGUUUUCUGAUGAGAAAAUCCUCAAACGGUGAUGUUUCUUUUUGGGUCCAGUUUGUGCUGUUUGCUGUUUAUAUCAGUGAAAACUCCCUGACCCUCGGUGACCCCAGGGCACCCCGGGACUCUUUCAGAUUCUCCUCUUCAAUCACAGAAAUGGUUCAUAAAUGGGAUUUUUGCAGCUCUUUUGGUUUUUGGCUGUUUAAACUGACAUAAAUUGACUUUUGUUACAGCUUUUUUAGUGACUUACUUUAAUUUUAUUGCUUUUUCUCACAUAAUUAAAGGUUUCUACGGCUCCUGUAGGAAAACAAAAGUGACAAACAAACUCAACGUGGUUUAAUGAUUGGCACCACGCUGGUUCAAAAAGACGCGUGGUGACCCGGCGCUUGGUUUCUGGGAAGCCACGCCUCUUCUGCUCUCUCCACCUGUGCUGCCUGUGGGUUUUCCAUCCCUGGAAAUGAAACCACAGGUGUGUGGUGACAUGUGACAGGAGGGCGGAGCACAGAGUGUAACUAGAGGUGACACCAGGAGAGAGGUGCAGGACUGCCGGAACGUCCUGCUGAGUCCAGACCCGGAAUGACCAGAACUUCCACAUCCAUCGUCCUGCAUCCAUUAAUGUUUGCGUUGGAGACCUCAGGCAUUUUAGUGUGUUUAGCGAUUAUGAUCAAAGCCUCCAUACCUCAUGUAGUUUUAUGUCUAAAACUAAUAAAUACAUAUUUAAAAAACUUA